AAUCAGGUAAAAAAAAGUCAAUUUUUGUUUGGUGUUCUGUUGAUAACAGUUUGUUUUCUAUUUAUUCAAAUUUCAUUAUUUUAAGAUUUUUUUAGAAAAUUUAUAAGCAGUGAACUUUCAACAAAUGUUUUUUUAAUUGUUAUAAAAACCAACUUUAUUUUUGGCUUUUAAAUAAAUAUCAUACGACCUUUUAACAACCAAAUAUUGUGUCAAAACGGGCUAUUUUGAAUCAGUGAAAUGAUUUUUGCAACGAACCAGAAGUUGUGAAGUCUUUAAUGUUAAAUCAAAUAUACAUUCACAAAAAAAAUGUUGUUAUUUAUAUUUGUUUA